UGGGGAAUAUUGCGCAAUGGCCGAAAGGCUGACGCAGCGACGCCGCGCGGGGGAUGAAGCAUUUCGGUGUGUAAACCCCUGUUGCCCGGGACGAACAAGCAGAUUUUUCUGCUCUGUCGGUACCGGGUGAGGAAGCACCGGCUAACUCCGUGCCAGCAGCCGCGGUAAUACGGAGGGUGCGAGCGUUGUCCGGAAUCACUGGGCGUAAAGGGCGCGUAGGCGGUCUGCUAAGCGUGCGGUGAAAGCCCGGGGCUCAACCCCGGGUCUGCCGUGCGAACUGGUGGACUAGAGCACUGUAGAGGCAGGUGGAAUUCCGGGUGUAGCGGUGGAAUGCGUAGAGAUCCGGAAGAACACCGGUGGCGAAGGCGGCCUGCUGGGCAGUAGCUGACGCUGAGGCGCGACAGCGUGGGGAGCAAACA
rnacentral:rRNA from 1 species